GUGUUUGCCUGCAGCAAGAUGGCAGCGGUCUCAAUGUCAGUGGCGCUGAGGCAAGCGUUGCGGGGGAGAAGGGCAGCGGCUGUAGCUGCCGUUUCCGUUUCCAAGGUUCCUACCAGGUCGCUGAGCACUUCCACAUGGAGGUUGGCACAGGACCAAACUCGAGACACGCAACUCAUAACGGUUGAUGAAAAAUUGGAUAUUACUGCUUUAACUGGUAUUCCAGAAGAGCAUAUCAAAACUAGAAAAGUCAGGAUCUUUGUUCCUGCUCGCAAUAACAUGCAGUCUGGAGUAAACAACACGAAGAAAUGGAAGAUGGAGUUUGAUACCAGAGAGAGAUGGGAAAAUCCUUUGAUGGGUUGGGCAUCAACGGCUGAUCCACUGUCCAACAUGGUUCUAGCUUUCAGUACUAAAGACGACGCAAUUGCCUUUGCAGAAAAAAAUGUUCAUAUUAUAUACCUUAUGAUUAAGAGUCUAAAGCCAAACUGCCUGGGUUUGAAUCCAUGUCGGAUCGCUGUUUGACUCUGUACAGGAGGAAAUGGAAGUACAAUGGAAAUUGUUGUGAGGAUUGAAUGGGUUAAUUAAAGUGCUUAGAACAUAGUUAAGAUGGAGCUAUGAUGUUGAAGAGAGAAGGGUUCCGAAACCCAAGUCCAAGUCUUACGGCGCAAACUUUUCUUGGAACAAAAGAACAAGAGUAUCCACAAAAUAGGUUGGCACGGAUUAUAUCUCUGCUUGUCUGUGAAUAAAGUCAGCUGUUCAGUAUUUAUAGUCCGUGUAUAUUACACCUCAAUCUCCUAAUAAAUUUGACCUUUAAACUACA